rnacentral:rRNA from 1 species
GCGUAGCCGACCUGAGAGGGUGAUCGGCCACACUGGAACUGAGACACGGUCCAGACUCCUACGGGAGGCAGCAGUAGGGAAUCUUCCGCAAUGGGCGAAAGCCUGACGGAGCAACGCCGCGUGUGCGAAGAAGGUCUUCGGAUCGUAAAGCACUGUUGUUAAGGAAGAACGACAGUAAGAGUAACUGCUUACUGUGUGACGGUACUUAACCAGAAAGCCACGGCUAACUACGUGCCAGCAGCCGCGGUAAUACGUAGGUGGCAAGCGUUAUCCGGAAUUAUUGGGCGUAAAGCGCGCGUAGGCGGCGAGAUUAGUCUGAUGUGAAAGCCCCCGGCUCAACCGGGGAAGGUCAUUGGAAACUGUUUCGCUUGAGUGCAGAAGAGGAGAGUGGAAUUCCAUGUGUAGCGGUGAAAUGCGCAGAGAUAUGGAGGAACACCAGUGGCGAAGGCGGCUCUCUGGUCUGCAACUGACGCUGAUGUGCGAAAGCGUGGGGAUCAAACAGGAUUAGAUACCCUGGUAGUCCACGCCGUAAACGAUGAGUGCUAAGUGUUAGGGGGUUUCCGCCCCUUAGUGCUGCAGCAAACGCA